ensembl:lncRNA
AGAAAAACCACCACCAAACCCAACAACCAGCUCCACCUUCCACACUCAAACCGCCCAAGCCACUUUCUACCACCUACCUCCUAACCAGAAAAAAAACAAAAUAGACAAGCCCCACAACAACACCACCACCAAGCCAGCCUGCCACAUCACCAACACAAACCAAGCCCCAAAACAACACAGCACCCCAGGCCUACCUGCUGGCUCCGCUCCUCCUCCGCAUCGCAGCUCCCAGGAUCUCCCUCUUCCACGCAGGACUUCAGCCCCACCAGGACCCCUCACUCCAGCAUCAAAGGGCCACGCUCCAUCAACUCCAUUCCUCCAGGACAGGACCUGCCACGCACCUUCCACCCUGUCACAAAAAGCACAUCGUCACCCACACAGCCACUGCCUCCAGCCCUGGGGCGCCACCCACCUCACAGGUAACAACAUACAGCUCACCUUGCUCCACAGGGGCACCCCGCUCACACCACCAGCAUCCUGCCUCCGGCCUGAACCUGCACAGAGACCUCCACAAACCACCUCCAAGGGGGCGCGCCUGGGGGUCCCCCUCUCUCACCUCCUUCAUCCCACUGCUGGGGAAACCACACACCUGCUCCAGCCAACCCUCUCGGCAAAGCUCUCCGCUGCAGCCCUCGCCCUGCAACAAGAGCACAGAUCACACAGCCAGACAGAAUGCCAAGGCCCCACUGCAAAGCGCCCGCACGCAACUGCAAUGGGGCCCGGGGAACCGGACUCCGCUACCUCCCCGGGCACCCUCUCCCAUCCCGCUCACAGGGAAAUCAUUCUUCUUCCUCUUUAAAGAGGAAUUCUGGUGAUACCAAACAUGCACACUGCCCCCCUACUGCCACACGCCACUCAUCCCCGUCAACUCGGCUCCUGCGCAGCACGCAUUGCUAACUGCCACCCUCCUCUCCUCUCACUGCACAAUCAAGACAACGCACAAAGCUACCUUUUGGUCCGGCAUGACUUCCCCUCUGUCCAUCCACCUGGACUGCUCCUUGCACAUUCCUUCUCCUCCGGUCACAUGGCAAUGACACCUGCAACAAGCUGUUACGUCACCUCCCCAGGAACAGAGGUGAGGCCAACCUACCUCCAAGUUGCACACGCCAUCCUCCACACCCUUUCUGAAGGCUGCGGUGGCAUCCGCCAUCCUCCAGUCUUCAGGUACCUUUCCCACAGGAAACAGCAGGGAAAAGUGACAGAGAGCGCCAUUUGCCGGUCACCGCUGCCAGCUCUCAGCGGGCACAGGCAUAGCCCUCCACAGCUCAGGCAUUUGCUGGCCUCCUUUCUGCCUGAACCACUUUUGACCAGCUCCUCCGCAACUGAGGGGAAGGCAACCUUACUCUGAGACUCUCUCCUCCAGGACCCCAGGAGCACUCUCAGCAGAAACCACUGAAACCAAAACAGGCAUCCAGCAUGUCCUCCAUCCUCCAUUACUCAGGCCCUUGCCUUGUGAAGCACAGGCCUGCAAUUUCUCCAGUCUCUCCUGUUGACAAACUUCCAUUAGCCUUGACCUCCCUCCCAAAGCUGAUACUCAGAGGGACUUGGCCUUCCUCAGCCUCUCUCUUCCUUCUCCCCUUCAAGUUCCUCAGUCAGCCCUGCAGGUCCCCCACCAUUCCUGCGCACUUCCUUCCUCCUUGGGACGCAGCGCACCUCAGCAUGGACGAAGUAAUGCUCCAGCAUUCACAGGACCCCUUCCUAUGCUUGAACAAGGGUUACCUCCAAGUAGGCCCUUCAAGAGGACAAACCUGGCUCCCUCUAAGUCCAGUGUUUCAAUCCUACUCAUUGCUUUGCAGCUUCCACACAAGAUCCCAAACGCUGCGGUCUCGUGACUGGCACGCUCCAGGCUGCCCCUGGCCUUCCUGUCCCCAAACGGCUCUUCUGCAAUAGGGAGCUCCAGCAGCCCCUCUCCUCAAUGCCUCCUUCGUCACCUGUGUCAGAAGAUCUUACCUUUGACACAUUGCAGGAAACUCCUGGAGCCUACCAUGAGAACUAGCCUCACAGCUGUGGGCACCAUUUCCAGCUGUGUGCAGAAGGUCUAUCAGCUUCCUCACCCUGGUCUGUGACCAACACCCCCACUCAGGUCACCCACUUUUACCUGCCUCUUCAGCCUCACGCACAAACGCUCCGCUGGUUCUUCAGUCAUCCCUAGGUGGAGCUCGAUACGUUCCCGUUCUCUCCCUCGAAAAGAGACUCCACCGCCUGACCGGUCUGUCUUUCCUAAAAGGAACAGAGCCAUCCACGACAGCACUCCAGUCGUGCGAGCUGCCCUGCCAGGUCUCCACGGUGGGAACCUAAAUCGUGCUCCUGCAGUUACACGGGAAGGAAGAGGCGGGGAAAAAAAAACAAAAACCACGGUCCCAACCUGCUCGCUCCCACCGCUGGAAACGGGAUGGGUGAGAGCACCCGCAAAACACUCCGCAGUGGCCGAGGCCACCCCGGGAUCGUGCUCGGUCUCGGGCGGAGGCCCCGUGCCGGUCCUACUAAAAAGCCACGCGGGAGCCCCCAGCGGCGGCGCCGUGCCGAUCCCAAAGACACGGAGGCAGUCGGGCAGCAACCCUACAGGAGCCCCAGCAGGGGAGAUCUUACCGAGCGACUCUCAAACACUCCCCGCUUCCACGAGCUGCCUGCUUCGGAGCGAUGAGAGGCUCUGCUACAGCCCUCGCUCAGCCUGCAACACGAGAAACCUUUUGUUUCAGCAGCCCUUGGCCUCGCUUCUCUCUCCCGGCAGCACAGAGGCUGCACGAAUACGGCCCCACCGCGUUCGCUCCUACCGAGGAGAGCCUGAAGAACUGAAGCACCCGCUGAAAGAAAUCCCGAGGGUGAGGGGGGCUGAGAGCACCCCGGGGCUGUGCGAGGACUCGGGGAUCGGAGCGGCAGCCGCCUCCGAAAACGCGACGGCAGCCGGGCGGCGGCGGCGGCGCCGUAUCGGCUCCGCACAGCCGGGGGAGCCCGGCGGCGACCUAACGCCGGCCCCGAGAAGAGCGGGGUCCGACAGCCGCCAGCUCCGGAGAUCCUGGCGGCUCCUGAGCGCUCACCGUCCCCUUACUACCCGAACCGCUCACCUGUUUGGGCUGGUCCUUACCGCAAAAGGGCUCACAGCAGCCUGAAACAAAACGACACCACGAGAACAUUAAAGAGAACCUGAAGGCGCCGUCCGUCCCCCCCCCCCCCCCCAAAAACCCGCGUACCGCUUCUCAGCCUCAGCAGCACCAGGGCCCGACAAAGAAACAGAACUCACUCCGUCUGCCAUACAGAACCGCAGAAACUCCCCCGUGGCUCCCGGCAGCCUCCGGAGGAGCUUAAGAGGCUUUGGGGCGGGCCCCGCCCGCGGCUCCCGACGAGGCGCAGCUGCGCCCGGCCGGCCGCGGCCCCGCGGCACCUGGGAGUCGUUGCCUCCUUAGCGCAGCCGGCCUCGUUAGGGACGGCCCGGGGCUCUGACAGUUUGACGUGCGGACUCCGGAUCUGAAUUAGGGACUUAAAUUACACUUUAAAGUACAGUUUGUUACGCGCUUUUCCUUCUCGCCGCACUGUGGGAUUCAUCGAUAAGUUAAGUAAUUGUGCCAAUUCAAACGGGUCGCUUUGCAUCCGACGCGACCGGCGCGAUAGAGCGUCUCCCCUCCGAAGAACGUCCCCGGCCUUAACGGUUUCCAGGGGCCUCCGCUGGGUGCGUCUCCGCUCUGCUUUCCAUCGCCCCAAUUCCGAACAAAAGAAAAAGGGGGGAAAAAAUUAUUUAUUUGUUUAUUUAUUAAGAAAAAUAAGUCUUUUUAAGAUAAUAAGAAAAAUAAGGAACAAACGUGCAGACCUUCACUGCUCAGGGGGGCUACAAACCAAAGUAAAACUAGGGGCCGGCAAAAACAUGGUACUCCACAGUCUUAAUUUAACAAAACACAGUGGAACCCCCUGAAAUAGCGUGAAAUUCAGAAGCCUGUGGUCGGGCUGAAGCGUCGUGUGCUGGCCGGCAGAUGUUUGGAAAGGUGCUAAGAUGUAACUCUUAUUGUCCAUAGAAUUUGCUGUUAACCACUUGCAAGAUACAAAGUGACGGCCAGCUGGAUGAAAAGGAGAAUGUGUGUGAACACCCGGAACUGACAGACCCGGGACAGUGCAUGUGGCUUGAAGUGGGCACUGAGAGAAAGCUCAGACAAUGUAUAUACAUGCUAUUAACAUUCACAUUAAUUUCCACUGGGACACGACUUAAUUAAGUUCAGGAACGCAUGCAAGUGUACUGUUCUUAUUAGAGGCACGGUCUGGAGAAGAUGGCCGGGGAGCUGAGCAUCAUUUCUACAUCAGCUGCUGAAGCGCCCACUAACUUUGGAUGUCGCCUAAACCUUCAGAUGGAAUCCUUGCAGGCAUUCCCGUGGGGAUCGGGAAAUUGCAGUAUGCCGGAACUACCGUUGCUGAUGUGGGGCGAGCGCUCUGAAGUGCACUUGGAGAAGAACGCAUUCCAACCCCGCAUAUAUGAAAAGUUUAAUAUUUUAGACAGCUAGAUGAAAUGCUGGGGUCUUGGUGCAUUUUGCUUUGGCGGUCCAGGCUUUUCAGCAUCUUAGGGAAAUGUUUGGAAAUGAAUUUUAUUUUCACAACUGUGGUAC